GGGUUGUGAGGUUAAGCGACUAAGCGUACACGGUGGAUGCCCUGGCAGUCAGAGGCGAUGAAGGACGUGCUAAUCUGCGAAAAGCGUCGGUAAGGUGAUAUGAACCGUUAUAACCGGCGAUGUCCGAAUGGGGAAACCCAGUGCAAUUCGUUGCACUAUCGUUAACUGAAUACAUAGGUUAACGAGGCGAACCGGGGGAACUGAAACAUCUAAGUACCCCGAGGAAAAGAAAUCAACCGAGAUUCCCCCAGUAGCGGCGAGCGAACGGGGAGCAGCCCAGAGUCUGAAUCAGCUUGUGUGUUAGUGGAACGGUCUGGAAAGUCCGACGGUACAGGGUGAUAGUCCCGUACACCAAAAUGCACAGGCUGUGAACUCGAAGAGUAGGGCGGGACACGUGGUAUCCUGUCUGAAUAUGGGGGGACCAUCCUCCAAGGCUAAAUACUCCUGACUGACCGAUAGUGAACCAGUACCGUGAGGGAAAGGCGAAAAGAACCCCGGCGAGGGGAGUGAAAAAGAACCUGAAACCGUGUACGUACAAGCAGUGGGAGCACCUUCGGGUGUGACUGCGUACCUUUUGUAUAAUGGGUCAGCGACUUAUAUUCUGUAGCAAGGUUAACCGUAUAGGGGAGCCGCAGGGAAACCGAGUCUUAACUGGGCGUUAAGUUGCAGGGUAUAGACCCGAAACCCGGUGAUCUAGCCAUGGGCAGGUUGAAGGUUGGGUAACACUAACUGGAGGACCGAACCGACUAAUGUUGAAAAAUUAGCGGAUGACUUGUGGCUGGGGGUGAAAGGCCAAUCAAACCGGGAGAUAGCUGGUUCUCCCCGAAAGCUAUUUAGGUAGCGCCUCGUGAACUCAUCUUCGGGGGUAGAGCACUGUUUCGGCUAGGGGGUCAUCCCGACUUACCAACCCGAUGCAAACUACGAAUACCGAAGAAUGUUAUCACGGGAGACACACGGCGGGUGCUAACGUCCGUCGUGAAGAGGGAAACAACCCAGACCGCCAGCUAAGGUCCCAAAGUCAUGGUUAAGUGGGAAACGAUGUGGGAAGGCACAGACAGCCAGGAUGUUGGCUUAGAAGCAGCCAUCAUUUAAAGAAAGCGUAAUAGCUCACUGGUCGAGUCGGCCUGCGCGGAAGAUGUAACGGGGCUAAACCAUGCACCGAAGCUGCGGCAGCGACACUAUGUGUUGUUGGGUAGGGGAGCGUUCUGUAAGCCUGCGAAGGUGACCUGUGAGGGUUGCUGGAGGUAUCAGAAGUGCGAAUGCUGACAUAAGUAACGAUAAAGCGGGUGAAAAGCCCGCUCGCCGGAAGACCAAGGGUUCCUGUCCAACGUUAAUCGGGGCAGGGUGAGUCGACCCCUAAGGCGAGGCCGAAAGGCGUAGUCGAUGGGAAACAGGUUAAUAUUCCUGUACUUGGUGUUACUGCGAAGGGGGGACGGAGAAGGCUAUGUUAGCCGGGCGACGGUUGUCCCGGUUUAAGCAUGUAGGCUGAUUGUCCAGGCAAAUCCGGAUAAUCAAGGCUGAGGUGUGAUGACGAGGCACUACGGUGCUGAAGUAACAAAUGCCCUGCUUCCAGGAAAAGCCUCUAAGCAUCAGGUAACAUUAAAUCGUACCCCAAACCGACACAGGUGGUCAGGUAGAGAAUACCAAGGCGCUUGAGAGAACUCGGGUGAAGGAACUAGGCAAAAUGGUGCCGUAACUUCGGGAGAAGGCACGCUGGUGUGUAGGUGAAGUCCCUGCGGAUGGAGCUGAGACCAGUCGAAGAUACCAGCUGGCUGCAACUGUUUAUUAAAAACACAGCACUGUGCAAACACGAAAGUGGACGUAUACGGUGUGACGCCUGCCCGGUGCCGGAAGGUUAAUUGAUGGGGUUAUCCGUAAGGAGAAGCUCUUGAUCGAAGCCCCGGUAAACGGCGGCCGUAACUAUAACGGUCCUAAGGUAGCGAAAUUCCUUGUCGGGUAAGUUCCGACCUGCACGAAUGGCGUAAUGAUGGCCAGGCUGUCUCCACCCGAGACUCAGUGAAAUUGAACUCGCUGUGAAGAUGCAGUGUACCCGCGGCAAGACGGAAAGACCCCGUGAACCUUUACUAUAGCUUGACACUGAACAUUGAGCCUUGAUGUGUAGGAUAGGUGGGAGGCUUUGAAGCGUGGACGCCAGUCUGCGUGGAGCCAACCUUGAAAUACCACCCUUUAAUGUUUGAUGUUCUAACGUUGGCCCCUGACCGGGGUUGCGGACAGUGUCUGGUGGGUAGUUUGACUGGGGCGGUCUCCUCCCAAAGCGUAACGGAGGAGCACGAAGGUUAGCUAAUCCUGGUCGGACAUCAGGAGGUUAGUGCAAUGGCAUAAGCUAGCUUGACUGCGAGCGUGACGGCGCGAGCAGGUGCGAAAGCAGGUCAUAGUGAUCCGGUGGUUCUGAAUGGAAGGGCCAUCGCUCAACGGAUAAAAGGUACUCCGGGGAUAACAGGCUGAUACCGCCCAAGAGUUCAUAUCGACGGCGGUGUUUGGCACCUCGAUGUCGGCUCAUCACAUCCUGGGGCUGAAGUAGGUCCCAAGGGUAUGGCUGUUCGCCAUUUAAAGUGGUACGCGAGCUGGGUUUAGAACGUCGUGAGACAGUUCGGUCCCUAUCUGCCGUGGGCGCUGGAGAAUUGAGGGGGGCUGCUCCUAGUACGAGAGGACCGGAGUGGACGCAUCACUGGUGUUCGGGUUGUCAUGCCAAUGGCACUGCCCGGUAGCUAAAUGCGGAAGAGAUAAGUGCUGAAAGCAUCUAAGCACGAAACUUGCCCCGAGAUGAGUUCUCCCUGAGACU
rnacentral:rRNA from 1 species